rnacentral:rRNA from 1 species
AUUGAACGCUGGCGGCAGGCCUAACACAUGCAAGUCGAGCGAGAGGCGGACGGGUGAGGAAAGUCUGGGAAACUGCCCGUUGGAGGGGGAUAACUAUAGGAAACGGUAGCGAGGACUGCAUACCAUCAGGUGUGCGCAGAGGGGCGUAGCUAGUCGGUGGGGUGACGGCUCACCUAGGUGACGAGCCCGAGCCGGUCUGAGAGGAUGACCAGCCAAACUGGAACUGUGGCACGGUCCAGACUCCUACGGGAGGAAGCAGUGGAGAAUAUUGCGCAAUGGGCCAAAGCCUGAUGCAGCCAUGCCGCGUGUGUGCAGAAGGCCUGCGGGUUGUCGAGCACUAUCAGCGUGGAGGCGGUACCCGCAGAAGAAGCACCGGCUAACUCCGUGCCAGCAGCCGCGGUAAUAC